UUGAACGCUGGCGGCAGGCCUAACACAUGCAAGUCGAGCGGUAGCGGGAAGAGCUUGCUCUUUGCCGACGAGCGGCGGACGGGUGCGUAACACGUAGGAAUCUGCCUGGUAGUGGGGGAUAGCCCGGAGAAAUCCGGAUUAAUACCGCAUACGCACUAGCUCUUUAUGAGCGGUGGAAAGGAGGGGAUCGGUUCGCCGACCUUUCGCUAUCGGAUGAGCCUGCGUCGGAUUAGCUUGUUGGUGGGGUAAAGGCCUACCAAGGCGACGAUCCGUAGCUGGUCUGAGAGGAUGAUCAGCCACACUGGGACUGAGACACGGCCCAGACUCCUACGGGAGGCAGCAGUGGGGAAUAUUGCACAAUGGGCGAAAGCCUGAUGCAGCCAUGCCGCGUGUGUGAAGAAGGCCCUAGGGUUGUAAAGCACUUUCAGUGGGGAGGAAAGGUUGAAGGUUAAUACCCUUCAGCUGUGACGUUACCCACAGAAGAAGCACCGGCUAACUCCGU
rnacentral:rRNA from 1 species